GAAAUGUCUGGCUCUCUGCCAAACCCCCGCCUCUGCCUCCCUGCCUGCCCGGCUUUCUGUUGUCAGCAUUGGAACAUUCCAGCGUUUAGAGCCGGCUCCUGGGGGCGGUGAGGGGGCCAGCAGGAGACAGGCCCUGGGAGGCACUCAGGACAGUGGCCUGGCCCCACUUCUGCUCUCGCACUGACCCUGACCCAGGAGUGUCAGGGGCGCGCCUGUCCUGGGCCUGGGUUCCCAACUAGGUGACGGGAUGGGGAGGGGCCCCGUGGGGCUCCCUUGGAUUUACACUCUCCUUUCCGGGGUGUGGCCUCCCUGUUCGCAGUCUCUAGUCCUCCCUUCUAGACUGACCCAGUAGCCAGUCUGGGGCUUUGAGAUGGGGCGUCUGGGAGGGGAAAGGAGGCAGGCUGAGAGGGGCUUUGGGGUGUCUGUGUGUGUGUGUGUGUGUGUGUACGCGUACCGGCUCUCUCUGCUCGGGUCUCCACUCUGCAGGGUCAGCAUAGCAUGGUCCAUGCCCCCACCCCCCAACCCCCACUCCCCAACCCCCCGUGGCCUCACUUGAACUGCUUCCUCUGUGGAAGCUCCUCCAGUGCCUCAGAGCACGGCAGACUCCCUCAGCUGGGGUCUGGGUUGCCUGGAAGGGUUGACGAGGUGGGGACAGGCAGGGGAAGGUCAGGAGACACCCCAGUGUCUUGUUUGAAGGUCUGGGUGCAGACGCCAAUGGAGGACAGAGAAGCAGGCUCGGCAAGGCCAAUGGGGUUAGGUUUGGACACAACACCUGUGAGGUCCCUGGGACCUCAGCAUCUGGCCAACGUCCCACAGGAGCUAGGGGGACGCCAGAGGGCCACCUUGGAAGAGAAGCAUCUGUGGGAUGGUCAGUGGCACAGGGCCCCGGGCUGUGAGCUGUGGGACCACAGAUGGACGAUGGAGGAGAGGCUCUCUGCCACUGGGCAGCUCAGACGUGAAGGCCAGCUUCGAUGGGCAGUGGCCCACUCAGCCUCUUUGUGACUGAGUCCCAGAGAACAGGCCAGGAUGGCAGAAACCAACUGACGCCAACCUGGACGAUGUCCUCAGGGAAGCCCCUGGAACCUGCAUGCAGGUCUGACGUCCUCUCUCCAGACAGCUCCGCCUAGGUGGGGUGGGUGGGUGCUUCCUCCCUCUGCCUGAGGGGGUAGCAGUCAGUGCCUGGGGGGCGUGGCUGGUCCCCAACCCUCCAGGGCCCCGGCUGUCAUCCAUCAUCAUUGCCUAGAGGCUCCAGGAAUGAGGCUCAAAUGCCACUUCAUUAUCGCCCCCUCUGUCCCAAUGCCCCCAGCCCCACUUCUUACUUGAUUUAUUUAUUCAAUCAACAAACUUUUAGUGCCAAGGAUAGGAGGGAGUGGUUAAGAAAAAGACCCAAAGUCCCAGUUCUCGUGGAGACUGCCGUCCUCUCUAAUAGAACACCACCUCCUCCAGGAAGCCCUCCCGGAUCAUCCAGCUGUUCUGGGAGCUCCAUCCACUGGACAAGUGCACGAUGGGUCCCAGAAGUGGCAGCCACUACCACCAUCAGCACCAGUCCAGCCCCAUCACCUCCAUCCUCAUCAUCAAGGAGGGAUGUGAUUCCUCAGAUCCCAACAGCCAAAACUCACAGGUGGGCCACUGGCUGACAACCUCCACCUUCCCCAGAGACCUCCCUUAGCAUCCAAGUCCUGCAGGGACACGCACCCCUUCCCUGGGGAGCCCUGCCUGUCAGUGUGUCCCAAAAUGCUGUGACUUCACUUUCCACAUGGAGGGACUUCCAUCUGGGCCGGUCCAGUAAGGGCGCCUCUGGCAAUGCUGAGGUGGUGGGGGCUCCAGUGUCCCCCAGAUGCAUGGGCAGGCAGGUCCUCAGACCCUCCUGUCGCCCAUGCAUCACCCCCCGGAGGGCCAAGGCAGGCCCCUCCCAGGGGCCCAGAGCCAGGUGAAGGGUCAGCCUCUGCAGGGACCUGGGCUCCACGAGCAGCUGGGAGGAGAGUCCUGGGCGGGGACAGAAGCACUUGGCUGGCAGCACAGUUGGUUCCUGUGUCCUCGCCAGGGCUUGCAAGCAAAGCCCCAGGUGGGGUGUGAGGGCCUGGACUCGGGCCCAGUGGACCCAGCGCUGCUUCCAGACCUCCAGCUUCCUGUGGGCAAGGGGACAUCCGCAGGGAAGCAGCCUGAGACUGCCUGGCCUCCUCCAGGCACAGGGGUCGAGCGGUGGCCUUGACUCAGGGCCACUCCAGAGCCUUGGGUGACAGCACCUGUUGGGGAGGACCAGUGAAGCCAGCUCCUCUGAGAACAGCCUGCCGUGAGGGGAGGCAGCACCUGGCCUUGACCCAACCAGGCUGAUGAGGUCCCUGCAGGAAAACAGACCUGUAAGGAGUCAGAUGGGGCCUCCGAGCCCCUUCCCUUGCCCACCCACAUCUGUUCAGUGAGGUCCUGUUUCCUUGGGAGGCAGGGACCGUCACUCCACGUGACACAGCCCAGGGCAUUUGUGUUCCUUCCUGGUGCACUCUUUUGUCACAGGGCCAUCUGCGGAACAGGGACAGCCAGUCCUUCAGGAAGAGCGGACGACAGCCAAGACUGCCUUCCACAAUCAGAUGUGGUCUUAAUGGAGCCAAUCUGUCUGCUUGGAGAUCCCAGGGACAGUGCUCGCACCAUGUCCUCUGCACACAGCCGUCAGGACGCGCUUUGACAACCAGCAGCACAUAUGCUGCUCUGCUGAAGGCACCAGGACUGUCGGCACAUCAGUGCGGCCGAGCUGCUCCCCAACACACGAACUCCCCUCCUCAGGACCUUUGCACGUGCUGUGCCCUCUGUGGAGGGCUGUCAUCCUCACCAUUCGGGGUGAACUCACCUCUGCAGGGUGCUGCCCUGUACCCGCCCCCGCCCCAUCAUGCCUCAGUCUGUGCCCAUCCCAGCACACACCAGCACCACCACCACCACCGGUCCUGUGCCUGCCUGUCUCUCCUUGGAGUUGGGACCUCGUGCGUCUCGCUUGCAGUUGUGUCCUCAGCACCUGGACUGGCACACAGCAGUGAGCGAGUCUGCAGGAACGGAGGCCCUCCAAAGGUUGUUGGGCACUUGUGCUCUUAGGUCUUUGCAGCCCUAAUGCCUUGGGCUCAGAGAACCAGCAGUCCUGUCCCAGCCUUGGGGAGGGCACAAAGGGAGCAGGUGUAAGGGUCCCAGCUGAGGGCUGAGCCAGCAUGUGCCCAGCCUGGCGAGAAGGGCAUGGCUCUCAGCCAGCCUGCCCCGCCCACUGGGGUCCUUUGCCAGGCACCUGUGCCCAGGAUCAGCUGCAAACUCUCCCCUCUCUUUGUUCAAACAAACACUGCUGCCCUGGGGCUUCUGCUCCCCUUGGCCAAGCAAGGACAGUUCCAGGGACUGGGGAUCUGACCAGGAGGCCAGUGGCUGGAGCUGGGCAGCCCCUGUCCCUGCACCAGCCCUGGGGUGAUGGGAUAAACUGCCUGGCCUGGGAUUCUGAGAAGGCACCUGAUCUGUUUUCAGGAAGUGACCACUCACCCCGUGACCUUUCCUGCCCUGAGCCCUCUGCCCAGGCAGAACCAGCCUAGACCAGUUUGUGUGGCUCUGGGAGGCCAAGGGCGUGGAAAGCAACAAGUCAUUCUUGGACACACCUAUGACCCUCUCACCUGGUCCCUCUGGCCGUGAGGAAGGCCUCAGAUAGGCACUGGGUCCUCCUCCUUUACCCUCCAGUGCUCCCUCAUGGAGGCGGCUACCUGUCAACAGCCGUGCCACCCUGGGAGCCACCCCCGCCUGCUGGACCAGAGUCAGACUCUAACGAGACAUUGGAGAACUGGCCAGAGAAGACAAAUCUUCGCCCAGGGACUGGAGCCCCGAUGGUGGGGUUUCAGGCACUGUGCCCUGUGGGCUGGGGGAAGCUUUCCUGGACCCAAAGUUACCCGUUCUAGCCAAUAGUGACUCCCCUCUGCCACCCCAGGCUCUGGCCAAGGCCGGCCAGGCUGUGGGCCAGCCAUUCAAGCUCCAGCCCCAACACACACGCGCUCUGAGCAGAGCCCGUUGCUGCACUUGGGGCUUUCCCACCCAAUGGCACCCCCCUCACCCCCCCGCCAGGGGCGGCCCCGUAGGAGGCCAUGCAUAUGGGAGAGCUCUGAACCUGGAAGGCUGGGCAGAGCUGGACAAGCGGCUCCUUGCUUCCUUGACUCACUGUCGGUCUCCUCGGAGAACUAGCAGCAAGUGAACAGGCACCAGGCCAUGGUCACAGCACCGGACCGAUGGGGCUGCGUCCUCCGGAACCAGCCACGAGGGGGUGCGAAUGUCCUGCCUCAGUGUGCUGCCCACAAUCCCAGGAACGCCCAGCCUGGUGGACAGUCGUGGACAUUUGCCUCUGAUGGAGCAGUGUCUGAAGAAGACCUGGACCUUUCAACCACGCCAGUCAAUAAACUUUCUUUUUAUUA